rnacentral:tRNA from 1 species
GCUGUGAUUCAGUGGCAGAGUGCCUGCUUUGCCUGCAGAAUGUCAGAGGUUCAAUCCCUGACAUCUCCA